GUGGGGAAUCUUGCGCAAUGGGCGAAAGCCUGACGCAGCCAUGCCGCGUGAAUGAUGAAGGUCUUAGGAUUGUAAAAUUCUUUCACCGGGGACGAUAAUGACGGUACCCGGAGAAGAAGCUCCGGCUAACUUCGUGCCAGCAGCCGCGGUAAUACGAAGGGGGCUAGCGUUGCUCGGAAUUACUGGGCGUAAAGGGCGCGUAGGCGGACAGCUUAGUCAGAGGUGAAAGCCCAGGGCUCAACCUUGGAAUUGCCUUUGAUACUGGCUGUCUUGAGUUUGGGAGAGGUGAGUGGAACUCCGAGUGUAGAGGUGAAAUUUGUAGAUAUUCGGAAGAACACCAGUGGCGAAGGCGACUCACUGGCCCAAUACUGACGCUGAGGCGCGAAAGCGUGGGGAGCAAACAGGAUUAGAUACCCGAGUAGUCC
rnacentral:rRNA from 1 species